rnacentral:piRNA from 1 species
UAUCUUAGUGGAAUGGAAUGUUCU